rnacentral:rRNA from 1 species
AUUGAACGCUGGCGGCAGGCCUAACACAUGCAAGUCGAGCGACCGGCGGACGGGUGAGUUAUGUAUGCGGACUGCCCGCUAGGGGUGGCUACCUACAGGAGACGGUAGCUAAUCCCGCAUCCUAUCGGAUAACCCAUAUGGGAUUAGCUAGUAGGUGAGGUAAUGGCUCACCUAGGCGACGAUCCCUAGCUGGUCUGAGAGGAUGAUCAGCCACACGGGGACUGAGACACGGCCCAGACUCCUACGGAGGCAGCAGUGGGGAAUAUUGCACAAUGGGCGAAAGCCUGAUGCAGCCAUGCCGCGUGGAUGAAGAAGGCCCUAGGGUUGUAAAGGACUUUCAGUCGGGAGGCGUUACCGACAGAAGAAGCACCGGCUAACUCCGUGCCAGCAGCCGCGGUAAUUC